ACUCACGCGUAGGCUUCGAAGUCCCCGUUGUUGACGGCCUCGAUGAGCUGCUCCGUGAUCUUGAUGAUCUCCUGCUUGCGGGCUGGGGGGGGGGGACAUGGGGGGGUCACGGCCCCGAACCACUGCGGGGUGCCCAGGGGACCCCCGGGAGGAGGAGGAGGAGGAGGAGGAGGAAGGUCCCUACCGCCAGCAGCCGUCCCUCCCAGUACGUCCCAGUGCCUCCCAGUACCACCCAGUGCAUUGCAACAGAUCCCAGUUCCAUGCAAGCGCAUCACAACACAGCCCAGUGCCGUCCCAUCGCGUCCCAGUACAUCCCAGUGUCACUCCAGUGCACUCCGACACACCACAGAUCCACCCUGCUGCAAUCCCACCACAUCCCAGUACAAACCAGUGCCAUCCCAAUUCAUCCCAGUGUCACCUCAAUGUGUUCCAGUGCCAUUCCAGUGCCACUCCAGUAUAACCCAGUGUGGCUCAGUGCAUCCCAACAGCAACCCCAUGCAUGCCAGUGUGUCCCAGUGGCGUUCCAGUGCAUCCCAGUUCCAUGCCAAUGCACUACAUUACCAUCCUAUCGCAUCCCAGUGCCUCCCAGUACCAUACUAGUGCCAUCCAGCACAGCCCAGUUCCAUCCAGUGUGUCCCAGUGCUAUCCUGUUGCAUCCCAGUCUGUCUCAGAGCAUCCAGUUCCCCCCCAGCUCAUCUCACUGCAUUCCCAGUGCCAUCCUAGUGCAUCCCAGUGUCCCUCAGUGCCAUGCUAAUGCAUCUCAGCACCACUCCAGUACACUCCAGUGUGCCCCAGUGCCACACCAGUGCAUAUCAGUACAACCCCGUGCCAUCCUAGUGCACCAUAAAGCAUCCUGGUGCCACCUCAGAGCCAUUCCAGUACACCCCAGUGGAUCCCAGGGCCAUGCUGAGGCAUUCCAGUUCCAUCCCAGUGCAUCCCAGUGCCAUCUUACUGCACACCAGUGUGCCUCAGGGCACCCCUGUGCCAGCCUAGGCACCCAGGCGUGUUACGGUCCCUCCCAGUGCCACCCCAGUGCAGACCAAAGCUGCCCCGGUGCCGUCCCAGUGCACCCCAGUGCCAUGCCAGUGCAUUCCAACACACUUCAGUUCCAUCCCAGUUUGACCCAAUGCUGUUCCAAUGCCUAACAUCACACUCCAGUUUGUCCCAGUGCCAUUGCAGCGUGUCCCAACGCAUCCCAGUUCCAUUCCAGUGCAUUGCAGUACCAGUCUACUGCUUCCCAGUGCGUCCCAGCACGCCCCAGUUCCCCCCAGUGCAUCCCAGUGCCAUUUCCAUGCAUGUCCAGUCACCUCGGUGCCAUCCCGCUGCAUCCCCGAGUCAUUCCAGUGCAUCCCAGUGCCAACUUAUUGCAUCCUGUGCAUCUCAAUGCCUUCCAGUGCCACCCCAGUACACCCCAGUGCCACUCCAGCAUACCCCAGUACAGCUCUAUGGCACCCCAGGGCAUGCCAGUUCAUCCCAGUGCCAUGCCACCAUGCCCCAGUGCAUCCCAGUGUUAGCCCAACGUGCCCCAGUGCAUUCUCAUGCCAGCCUAAUGCACCUUAACGCGUUCUGGUGCCAUCCCAGUGCAUCCCAGUGCAUCCCAGUGCCAUUGCAACGUAUCCUACGUCCAUCCCAGUGCACCCUGGUACCAUCCCAGUACAUCCCAGUGUAUCCUGGCUCCAUCCCAGUGCCAUUCCAACAUAUCCCAGUGCCAUUCCAGUGCCAUCCCAGUGCAUCCCAGUGCCAUUCCAACAUAUCCCAGUACCAUCCCAGUGCAUCCCAGUGCCAUUCCAACAUAUCCCAAUGCAUCCCAGCACCAUUCCAGUGCAUCCCAGUGCAUCCUAGCACAUCCCAGUGACAUUCCAAUGCAUCCCAGUGCAUCCUAGUUCCAUCCCAGUUCAUUCCAAUACCAUUCCGAAGCAUCCCAGUACAUCCUAGCACCAUCCCAGGGCAUUCCAAUGCGUCCCAGUGCCUCCUAGAGCCGUCCCAGCGCCAUUUCAAUGCACCUCAAUGCAUCCCAGCUCCAUCCCAGUGCCACUCCAAUGCAUCCCAGUCAUCCCAGUGCCAUUCCAAUUAAUUCCAACAUAUUCCAGCUCCAUCCCAGUGCAUCCCGAUGCCUUUCCAGUGCAUCCCAGCUCCAUCCCAGUGCCAUUCCAAUGCAUCCCAGUGCC
rnacentral:lncRNA from 1 species